rnacentral:tRNA from 1 species
UGCGGGAUCGUCUAAUGGUAGGACACCGCUCUCUGGAAGCGACUAUCUUGGUUCGAAUCCAGGUCCCGCAGCCA